UCCCUCCCUUCCCGGCGCCGUCUCACCUCCAUCAUUCCCCGUUAGCUCUUCGGUGCCGCGCUGGGGUCAAGGGACGCCAUCCUGUGCUUCCUGCUCCGGGUCGGCGAGCCGCGCCCCGCGAAGGGAAUGGCGGGAGCAGCGGGUUCCCGCGCAGCCGCUCCCUGCAUGGCGCGGGCUCCUCCCGCCCUUAGCGCCCGGGUCCGCCCGCCGGCGCCCCUGGUGCCGUGCCAUGUGUUAGCGCGGCUCACCCCGAGCCCAGAAAGCCCCAGUUACUUCAGAACACUGCGGGGAGGCGUCUUUUUGUCAGCCCCAGCUGGGGUGAUUCUGGUUGGGAAGUAACCUCUUAGCUAAGUUUCACUUCAACAAUUGUAAUAGUUGUUUUCUCCUUCAAAAUGUAUUAUUCCAUGUGCUUGAGAGCAGGCUGUAGGGUUUACCCUUUUAUUUAAUUUUCAGCCGUUAAAAGUAGCUUGUUUUUCACAGCGUGCCUUGUUUAGGUAGGCUUUACCAGAAAGUCACAGUCUGACUUCAUCAGAGUUAAUUAUGCUAGAUCAGCUUUUCUUAUGAGUGGGCUUGAGAAUGUUAGCUCGGGUUCUCUUAUUUUCAGCUGUAGGUUUUUGAACGUUUAUCUAAUCUCCCGUGGGAAACCAGCUAUUGCAUAUUUCUCUCGUUAUGCUGAAGCAGCAGGAAUUUUUAAGCAAUCUGGGCAGACACAAAGUCAACACAACACCCUUAUGUGUGAAGACAGGUGCAGAUACAGGCUUGGAUUGUGCAAUGGGGGGAAAACAAUCUUGAAUGUGCCUUAAUAUCGAAAAUUUAGAGAGGCUCUUCUGUGGUUAUGAAACCAUAGCUUAGAAAUGUCCACCCACGCCCAAAAAGUAAUUGAACACAAAUCUCAAAUGACAGAUGAGCAGGAGAAGGCUUCUCUUUAGGAGGGCUGAAUUUAGUUGCUGUUGAAUUCUUUUAAUAUGUGCAGAGGUAUGAAUAUAUCUUUAUUGUUCAAAAAUUAUUAUUAUAGGACUAAAGUUGCCUGAUGAUAUUUUGUUGCCUAUUAUAAUACACAACUUGGAAAAACAGCAGCUUUCUGUGGAGAACAUUUUACAUGCAUGAAGGCUCAGGCACGUGCCCAAACUACUGCAUGUCAGCACAGCUGCAUUGUUUAAACAUGUGGCAAACACAUAUAUAGACAUGUUAUCUGAGGUUAAAAUAGUUUAAUUUUAUGGUGGUUUACAGUAGGCUUAGUGAGUUACUGUGGCUCGGCUAACCCCUCAUAACUUGUUGAAACAAAGUAAGCUUGGUUACAUAGCUGAGACACUGACGUUUCUUUUCCAGAAUGGCUGAUGUAGAACAUAAGUCCUUCUUAGCAAAGACAAAGCACUAUACAGUCUGUCUUAUAAUGCCAUGUAACUUCUCCUCAGAACGUUCCUGAAUAUUUUGCAUUCUAUUACAUAGAAUGUAAUAUUCUAUGUCUUGGACUGCCACUCAAAGUUAGCAGAGCUUAGGCUUGUGUUGCCAAGUAUUUCUUGGCUUUCAGCUCUUUCUGUAUUUAUGAACUUGAGGUUGCACCGUGAUUCAAACUCAGUUAAGAUAUUGAGAGAUACUCCUUUACCUCAGUCUCCUCUUCUCCCCUAGGAAACUACUCCUCACAUACAUGCAUGAACACUGAGAAGGGCUGACAAACUUCCUUUCCCCUUUAAAAAUUAUUCUCUCUCCUGGUCUGACUUUUCUCACACUAUUUUCUCUUUGGUGGUAUCUUUAGUUAUCUAUUGAGUUUCUAUAAACUGCCCCAUAUACUUUACACUGCUUUGCUUUCUCCUUCCACUUUGAUUUGUUAUGUUUUUCACUUCCAUUAGCCAAAUAUAAGUCAAAGGUGUACCUGUUAAAACAUUAAGACAAAUUGACAAAUGCAGACAACAGCUAUUUUCCUCAAGAGUCUCAAAUUUCUUCCAGCAUCUGGGUUCAGAUUGGAAAGGGAGAAUGUGAUGAAAGAAAAUCAAGAUCUCUCUGAAAUUAUUUUUCCAAACGCUGGCAUUCCUUCAUAUGGGAGGAGACAGUACUUCAGCUAAAAUGGAAAAAUACUGCUGUCAAGUUGGCUGUUUAGCUAUUCAAUGACUAUAAUCUUAAUGACAUAUCAUGUCAAGAUACCCUCUGAAAAUUCCAGUGAUUUCAAGUGUUAUCUAAAUGGCAGGAGUUACAUGAAGUGCUGCUGCUUGAACUGGUAGUUAAACUCGGUCUUUCCAGAGUGGAUUUUAAUCGAUGAGGUAUUCAAACAGUGAGGACAAAGGAAGAGUGAAGAACUGCUUUUCUAAAAAAAGGACCGAAUUGUAAACAGCAGUUAAAAAGCCCCCAAAGAAUCAGAAGUGCUUUUAAAACUAGACUCAGGUUAUUCACUGCUGGACUACCCGAUAUCUACUAUCUGUGUGUUACACAUGCUGGUUAUACUGUGCAAAUGGGGUAAUUGCUCACCAGAGCAAAAGCCCCUUUCAAUGGAAAAGGAGCAAAUGUAGCUACAACAAGACUUGCAGGCAAACUCUGUAAGAUGGUGUAGCACAUACUGGCCAAAACAGCUUCUUGGAAGAAAGACUGUGAUAUUCACAUAUUUCAAAGAUUGUUUUGAAUCACCCCAGCAGCCAGAAAAGAUAUGAAAGUAUGCGUGAAUUUAAUUUUUAAUGACUUCUGAAUAUGUUUAUACACACUUCAAGGAGUUUUAUCCUGUCAGAAAAUGGUAAGUGACCUUGAUUUACAUCUCUCUCUCCCCCCCAUCUCCUGUAGUAUGCAGGUUUUCAGGUUUUUUAUUUGGGUAGGGAUAGUAUGUCUCCCAUAGCUAUAGAGAUUCCCAGUAUUAUUAGAAAAAAGUACACCAGUUCUACUCUGAACUGAUUCUAGAAACUGGAAAUCAUUUCAACUUAACAGAAUAAUUCUGAAGAAUUACAGUCAUGCAGAAUUAAAUGAGGUUUCUAUGAUCUCAGCUGGAAAGUGUGUAUGUUUUCCCUAAUCAUUGUGGAAUAAGGUAGGAUGUGGAUCUAGUUCAUUAAGUGUAUUGGCUUGUUUCCUAGAAGUGACAAGAAGAUCUGAAGCCUUGUAUACUACCACACAAUGAGACAGGGCUAUAUUCCACCACUUAUUCAGACUUAGUGAUAACAGUGUCGUUGUCACCUGUCACCUUUCUAAAUGUGAUCUUGCAAAGCCAAACAAUAUCACAGACCUGUUUUUGUAGACUUACACAACAUGUAUACAUUGAAUUAUGCCUAUGUUCAUAUGUAUAUGAAUUAAAACACAUCAAAACAUUUUUUUUUCUAGCUGAAUGAAAUGGUAUUUCUGAAUAAUUUUAAAUAUUCAUUAACUCACAGCUAAGGAGAAGAAAGUAAGGGUAUAUCAGGGUACAGGAAUUUGUCGGAGCAGCUUUGUAGAAACUGCUUUCAGGAUUAACUUGCUUAAGAUACCUUACCUUCACUAGCAUCAUAUUAUUGUCCUGCUUCAGCUGAAUUAGGAAAUGCAAAUAUUUUGAUAACCCAAUUUACUUUUGUUUAAUGUCAUUGCAGCUUCUGCCCAAAUUUAAAAUAUUAUCAAUCACUUAUGCCAGGCAGACAGGAUAGAGGUCCUACCAAGUUUACUUCAAUCCCAGGAAUCCCUAUAUGUGCCAUGAGUGACACUACAGUCCACUUCUACUGCACUUAAAAUCUCUGAGUGUGGUGCAGUGGAAGUUAUUUAAGCCUGGAGAAUGAAUUUAUGGUUUGAAUUCUCGAAUUGCCUUUGUGGAAAGGGAUCAUAUGUCAGGAAAGCUCUUUAUAAGGAUUCUUAGGCAGAAUCUGAUCACAGGGUUUUACUGCUCUGGUGGGGGCAGAAGAAAAGUAUUGAUCAAAAUAAUAAAUUUCUAUGUACUAUACAUUCUUUUAAUUUUACGAAUUUCUUUCUCUGCUGACAAUCUAAUGAGCAGCAUCUGAAAUGCUUAGAUUUGUGUUUAGUUCUGAUAGAUUGAUUAAAGAGGAAAUUUAUAUCUGUUUCCUAAUAAAGCCAGUUGCCUUAAAGAAUUUUCUUCUCCUUCUGUUUCUUAACAGACACUUGAAGUUUGUGAUCUGUUAUUAGAUGUUAAUUUUGUAUUAAUAACUCUGCUAUUCCGAGCACUAAGCGACAGCUAGGUUUGCAGAGGAUUGUAAUCUAUUGAAUGGUCUUAUUAUUUGCUUAUUUAUUUAUUUUGUCUUGUGGAAUGUGCCAGCAGUUCAGCUGUCUCUCUUACUGUGGUGGCUGAUUGUCUGGCUAAUUUGCACUCAUUAUUUCUGAUAAUGGUUUGACUUGUGUUCAUUCAGUCUAAAGCUAGCAGUUUCACAACACUGCAGGGCUCUGUUAUUGCUGGCUUUGCAAAAGAGAGUUCACUGGAAGGAACAGCUUCUGGUGGCUUGUUACCAGAAGAAAGGGAUUGCUGUGACUGUGGUGGGCAGUGACCAACACACAUUGUUUUUAGAAGGGAAGAUGCCAUAAUGCAGAGAUGAAUUCUCCCACACUUGCUAGGCUCCUGAGACUAAAAGAAAAGUUUUGUGUCCUCAAAAGAAACAUAUAGUUCUUCCAGGAGAGCUCAACUAAUUCUGUACUCUUUGUGUCUUCAUUAUGUUCCAGAGCUUGAGAACCUGAAGACAGGAGCCAAAAACCCUGUAUCAGCCCCUGGCUGCUUUUUUCCAGAGAAAAUUGCUGCUGGCUUAUUGCAGCUCUCUUAUACCUGGCCCACCAUUUUACUGCAUUACAGUUCUUUGGAUAAAACUGAACAGACCUGCUGCAGAUACAAUAAUUUUUUAUUACUGGGCUCAAAGGGAAGCUAAUAAACCCAUUACUACAAGUCAGGUUUGUUUGCAAGAGUUAACUGCAAAAGCCAGCACACUAAGUCUCUACUUCUUGGCAGGGACAUUAGCUAGCAACAGGUUUGCAGCAUUUUCCUAUUUCUCUUCCCCUACCCAGGCUCUCUUGUCCCUUUUUGAUACUUCUUGAAGAAUGUAUUUCAAGAAUCACAAGGCACAAGUAUGAAGAACCAGCAUCUUUUCCCUGUGUCCACAAUAGAUACUUCCCUCUUCACUCUUUCAGCAAGGUCUGAAUUCUGCCUUCAGCUCUACCUUUGAAUCUACUAUUUGGCUUUGGGCAAGAUAUUUCUUCUGUUCCUUCUCAUGCUCUUCUUGUGUCUGUUUAUUUUGUUUAUUUAUAAACAAAGCAGGAAUUGUCUCUCAUUAUGUUCUUAUAGUGCCUAGAUCCAAUGAGGCUUUGAUCUCAAAGGCUGAGGCCUUUGGGUACUUUCUCAACAUAAAAAACACGCUUUUUCAGCAAGUGUGAGCUUGGCAUAGAAGUUUUAUUCCCUUCUGAAGCCUUUUAGAUGAUAGAGGGAAAGGAGUGCAUAGUAAGUCCUGUACCAUCAAUGUAAUAUCACUUUCUACACUCCCACUCCUUCUUUCUAAUGAUCCUCUUUAAUGAGCUCAGCCCCCCAUCAUUUUAAUUAGAUCUUUUGAAAAUAUUAAGAAUCAUUGCCCAUUUAGGAAGCCCGAAUAAUGUUAACUGAGGGGUUGUGCUAUAUCUAGCAGAGCCAAGUGAGAAGUGAUUUGCAAAGCUAAUAUGGGAAGCCUGUAAAACCAGUAUUUCCAAGCUCCUAAUUUGACACCUUAAUCAUAGGUGCCAUCUAUUCCUAUCAGUGCUAGGGAGUGUUGCCAGUGUCAUAUUAGGGAGAUGAAUAAAUAUCCAGUCCUCCUGAUAUUAACAUUAUGAAUUUUUCAGUUUUGCAGCAAUACAGGCAGUGCUUAUUUUAGACUUGAUCUUAAAGUAAAUGAAAUAGUUAGCUUUGUAUGAGUAGGAAUAUUAGAAUAACACUCAUACAGAAGUAGACGCCCUUAAUCUACUGUACACAGUGAUUCUAGUAUAUUAACGGUGAGGACAUAAUAAAGUAUGUUAUCCAAAACAUUUCAGUUGAUAAGAAAUGUACUAGUGAUAAUUUGGAAUUGGAUGUUCUGAUUUAUCCAUGCAAGAGUAGGUGUCAACAGUAAUAUAAUCACAGCAAUAUUGCAUUCAUGAAAGAAGAAACUGCUGAUGUGUAUUAAUGAGGAGUAGAAUAAACCUAGGAGAACAGACCUCAAUUUGGAGGACAGUACAUAACCAAGCAUACUGUUAUAAAUGACUGGGAAAUUUAAUAUUUCUGGAAUAGAAUAGGAUAUAAGAAGGCGUAUUAGAGGACUGAGUUGUGGUGCUAAUUUUCUCUGGGGUUAGUUCUAAAGUCUUCUUAUUAAAAGGACAGUAAGUGUAGCGAAUUGUGAGCUAUUUUUUAUCUCUUAUUUGAUAGAUAUUUUGUAUCUUGCUGGAGGGAGUUAUUUUAUUUUUUUCUGUAAUGACUUGUUACUCUGCAGUACCUUUAGGAUGGCUGUUGUCUAACAUAUGUUUAAUUGUCCUUAUUCAGUCUGCUGAGACAACAGUUGAUAAUCUGAAAGAAAUAUCUGCAUACUCUUUAUUCUCUGCUGUCACUUUGAUGCUUUCUGUCAGGAGGGAGUUGUGGUAAAGUGUGUGUUUGCUGAAGGAGUACAGCCGUGCAAAAAACAUGCUCAGAGCUGCAUGAUCAUGAUCAUGUAAUGGCACAUAAAUGGUAGUCAAAAUCAUCUUUCAUCACAAAUAUACGAGACAGUUGCAAAAUAAAAUUUCCAAGUAAUUUUUGCUUGAAAACCUUUAAAAGCCAUAAUUAAUUAGAAAUGCAAGCAUUUCUAAUUAGUUAGUCAAUCUAGUCACUGUGAAGCUGAGGCACUUAGGGUUUUUUUAAUUGGAUAUCUCUAUUACUCUAGGUAUGUAGUUAUUAUGGUGGCUUAUAGCCAAAGAAAAUACUGCUGGCAUUUGUGGAGGAAUAGAAAACACAUGAUGUCUGCCUGGAACAAUACUUCAUUAGUGUGCAUAUCUUACAUGCUGAGAACACAGCCAGUGUGAUAUGUGGUGUACCUGCUGGGCUCUGAGAGGUGUGCUUAACAGCUCUGAGGUAUGUCCUGGGUCUGCAGAGACAGAUUAGUGUAUGUGACCAGCAAACGGUGGAAAUCCAGAUUCAUUUUCUCUUCAGUGCAGAGGAAAAAGGUCAGAACCUGUAAGGGCUGCCCCAGGUAAGUGCUGUCUCCCUCCAACACAAUGGGCAUGAUGGCUCGGGGAGAGCCUCCCUUUAGGAAAGGGAAGGUCUCCCAGAGGUGAAGCCGUGGUUUCUUCACUUCAUCAUGAGUGAAGGGUCAGUGUUAAGUUUAAGAAAGGAGGAUAGGACUGUGGUUAAACCACUAGGCAGGGACUCCAGGUUUAGCACUCGGUUUGAUCAGAGAUUUCCUGUAGGUCACUCUCAGCAUUCCUGUCUGUAAACCAGCCUGAUGAUGCUUCUCACUUGAACCUAGUUUCAGUAAGGGUUAUGAAUACUGAGGGGUUCAGACUGGUUAUGUAAAUACUUUGGCAGUGCUGACACAUACAAUAUAAGAUGAUAUUUUAAAUCUCAAGUGGCACUGUUUACCUAAACGUCUAUUUUUACCUACUUGUAAGAACAUGAGAAUAUUUUUUUUCUGCAAAAAAGGGACUACUUUAAGUGUUCACAGGUAUUACCAGUCAUUUUCUUGACUCUAACCUACUGUCUUUGAGGUCAAAUGAUAGACUUGCAGUGGCUACAGCAACUCCUUACAUUCAAAAGGAAUAUUAAAAAAGAUAUUUUCACUUUUAACUGUGUUAACAGAAAGGAAUAAGAGCAAGAACAGGCACUAACUAUGUAGUUAUCAGGUGCCCUCCCCUUCCCUAGUGUGUAUCCUCAGGACACCCGGGUUUCUUUGUCAUCUUUGGGAAUAGAAGACCUGGUGCUUG